UGCAAGAAUUGACAGGAAGACGGUGAAACAAGAUGCUAACACCAUCUGCUUUUUUUUCGCACUAUCUCUACCGGGAGAAACGAUCGUUUGUGGAAACUACUGUUUGUUUAUUUCUACUGCUGUGUGAAAGAGCAUUACCUUUAAAUGAUUGGGGCGGGGUUAUUUGCUGCGCACGUUUUUUAAGGCCCCCCACGUCUGGCAAAAAAAAAAGGAGUUCUCGUAUAAAGUUUGAUUUUUUAACAAAUCCAGCUUAGUCGACUACUUGGCGUACACAGGUGUGGGCUAUCGCGAAAUAAUGUCGGGAUGUUUUGUACCCGGUUGCACAACUAGAGUUGAAACAUUGGAACUAGAAAAUCGGACGUUGUUCUCAUUUCCUAAAGAUGAAAACAGGCUGCUGACGUGGAAGAAAGCUUUACCACCAGAUGCCGUUAUCACGAAAUCAUCUAAAGUUUGUGACCUUCAUUUUGACGACGACGCCAUUGUUAGAAGUCGUCUGUCGAUUGUGGACGGGAAACCAACAUCAGUCGUCGUUCGUCCCGUUCUAAAACCUGGAGCUGUUCCCACAAAGUUUCAGAGCAUUGUUUAUUUGUGAGUUUAAAAUCUCGUUCGGAUGUUCCCUGAAAAUUAUUAGCAGUUUAUGGUAAACGUAUUGUUUCUUUCCGCCAUGACAUCGAAGUUUUUUCUCUUUCUGUUUUCUGACGCAUUCGUGCACGGUCAUGUUGCAUGUGCUGUCCGCAGGUAGCGUUCAUACUGAACGAGUACUGAAUAACCUCGUUAGCCUUGUCUUUAGCCAAGACAAUACAUCCUUGUAACCAAGUUUCCGAUAUUGUAACUUGUUAACUGUUAGUCGUGAAUGCCUUGCAGGAAUCUAGUACGAAACUUUUACUCAAUACACCCAAGAAAAGCGGAUGUAGCAGAUAUUACAGUAUAUCUUGACAUUUCUUUGUUGUGUUAAAAAAUAGCAGACAGCCUGCUAUUGCUUUUGAUUAGCAAUUACCAGUGGAUUAAUAAUCGGUACUUUGUUGCACCAGAUGUUUAGACCUGCAGGUUGCCAAACGAUAGUUAAUGUUAACAUAAUAAAGACGUGGCACAUCACUUUUCGGGAAUGCCAGACGAACAGGCAAACGUCAGACGAGGAUUUGAGUCUGCUGGGAAACCGAACCCCAUCUCAGUAAGUUCGUUCUUAUGGUAAAUCUGCCAACAUGCACGUCCAUUUGCCUCAAACUUUUUUCCUGUAUAGUCUUUAACAAUGUACAACAUUGAUACACCCAUUUGUUUGGCCUUGGCUACAAUCUCGGCAGUCUGGUUGGCAACGCAAAAAUUACUGUAUUCUGUCUUAACGUUCUUGUCUAGCCAUUGCCAGUGAUCACCCGUCGUUAGGUCGAAGAAACCUCCUGUCCAAAGCAGCCUACGUUCUUGAUCCGUUUUUUGGAAUGGUGUACUUUUAUUGUUCCGUACAGCAUUAUCGACGAAAAUGUCUUCACAUCUCGACCCGAUCGUGAGCCAACUUGCAUCGUUUUGGCAAACCUCCUGCAUUGUCGAAUACGGCAACUUUUGGCACGAAGGUGAAUCUUAUUGUCGUUACGACAAUCAGAGCCACGAUCAGUGGCACAAGAAAAGUAAAGCAAAUGGCUGUGAUUGAGGUAAUUGAUCUACUUUUGUUUUUGGUGUCCUGUUUCUGGAGUUUAGUUUGUUUUCUGUUUUUUUUUAUAGGUACGUGAAUCUGUUCGCCUGUGUGAGACCUGAGUGGUGGUGGAACGUAACUUUGUGCUUCAUCGUCUAGGGCAAUGAUUUCAUCACGUGGUGUUCGGGAAUAUAAGAGAAAUUGGGCCACGAUGGAAACGACACAGAAGAAAGAGUGCAAACCAACGAGGAGAGUUAUGACAGCCGAAUCUCCGACUAGUACUAGUUCGUUUUCAACCAUCAGGACGUUUUUGUAAAACAAAAGGACGCUCUGGAUAACUAGCAUGAGCAAAACGAAUAGGAUUGCACAGCGAUGGACAUUGGCACCGGAGUAAGUUGGCUGAUAUGUUUGAACCAUUGUAUAGCGAUCAAUGAUAUAUCCAAUUGCCAGACACAGGACGCUUAUAGCUAUGAUGGGGGAAACGUGAAAUAUCCCACGCACGUUAUGACAAACUGCGCCACCAGUUGGGAAUAGCGUUCUCCGAUGUUGAACCUGUCACGCAGAAAUGGACUGUCUGCCUUGGGAGAUUUGGUUAAACGCAGCCACAGUCUGUUUACCCAUUGCGUUACUCGAGAGCCCAAGUCUGGCCGGAAAACGCACUGCAGCCGAAUCCAGUGAUUCAAAACGUUUGGAUCUGUUUGAGUCCAGAUGAUGGAAUUCCAGAUGUCCUUGAAGUUGAGCAUGGGUAACACGAUUUCAGACACCACGAUAAUGAUGAAUGAAGAGAAAAAGAGUCCUAAGUGAGCACUGGAUUUUCUCAUGUGAUCCACUUGGAAGGCUGGACAGAGGCGAACAAUUACCAAGAAAACUAUUGUCAAAAUCGAUUUCGAGUAACGUAGAACAGCGUAGAAGAUGUUUUGUUUGUCGACUAGGAGUUUCAGCGAUUCGACGAAUAUCGUGGAUCCUGCUAGGGAUUGGACCAUACGAUAUCACGAGAUGGUGGAGCCCAUUCAACUCGCCAACCUCUUAGUGUCCGGUGAUUGAUUAAGUAUUUGCUUGCUUUCACUGCAUGCUCUCGUGUUCUGAAUGUGACGAAAGCUGCAGUGGCUGGAUGGCUUGUUGAUGGCUUCUCCAUUAGCUUGUGGAUAAUACUUAUUCCAGUCACAAUAUCAGCAUUGUUGUCUCGGAAGUAUGACCUCAAAUAUUCCUCGGUGCAUUUUUCGUAAUUGAUCCGUGAGAUGAGCAGUGUCCGUAUUGUUUCACCGUUGCCCAUAAUGGUUUGGUUUCGGUACAGAUGAUAGGAAAAGGUUGAAAAUAUUCGCAUUAGUAAAACCGUGAUUACCAUUAAGAAAGAUGGUAUCAAAAUGGCUAUCAAGCAGAGUUGAAAACUGAGUAAAGCCAGUCCGUCUGUUCCUUGCUGUUCCGUCAAAUGUCUAGCGAUGUCACCCCAGAUUCUACGGGCCGUACUUCUCAUCGAGGCCAGUGUUCCUUCUCCUACGUGCUCCAUUUCGUCGUCUUCUUGGCUAUGGGCGGAUUCAGUGUCAUUGUGACAGUAGGAAAGCGGAUUAUCGUAGGUUCGAAAUAAAAAUUCUCCCACUCCAGAGAUUCCUAGGACGAUUAACAGUGUUAAUAUAUAAAACAAGAUUGUCUUAUUCAAUAAAAACACUGUGAUGUUGUUGAAAACUC